UUAUUUUCAAAUAAUAGAGAUCUUCGAAAAAUCCUGGCUGGAACUCCUCGAAUACAACAUUGUAAGUACAAUAUAUUUCCUAAAUAUAUUGCGUGACUAGCUCAUAAUUUCUAUGAACUCAAUAUAGAAGUAUUUUCUAAACUUACAUAGCCAACCGAACUUUUUGAACCUUGCGCGGUAGAUCCCGUCAUAAUUAAGAGCAAUGUUUUGAAGGAUUUGCCCAAUAUAAUUCGAAGCACAUCAGGCCUAACAUCAAGUGGAGUGUAGUUUUCUUCAUCUCAGGAUGU